rnacentral:rRNA from 1 species
AACGAACGCUGGCGGCAUGCCUAACACAUGCAAGUCGAACGAGACCUUCGGGUCUAGUGGCGCACGGGUGCGUACCGCGUGGGAACCUGCCCUUAGGUUCGGCAUAACUCCCCGAACGGGGUGCUAAUACCUGGUCAUGUCUUCGGACCAAAGAUUUAUCGCCUUUGGAUGGGCCCGCGUUGGAUUAACUAGUUGGUAGGGUCAAAGCCUACCAAGGCGACGCUCCAUGGCUGGUCUGAGAGAAGGAGCAGCCACCCUGGCCCUCAGGCCCGGCCGGGACUCCUACGCGAGGCCGGAGUGUGUUAGAUUGGACAGAAGACGGAAGGGUGAGGCCGCACUGCCGCGAGAGUGAUGAAGGCCUUAGGGUUGGAAAGCUAUGAAGGCUGAGAGGAUAGUGACAGUACCUGGAGGGCAAGACACGGGGAACUCAGUG